rnacentral:rRNA from 1 species
UACAGAGGUCCCAAGCGUUGUUCGGAUUCAUUGGGCGUAAAGGGUGCGUAGGCGGCGCGGUAAGUCGGGUGUGAAAUCUCGGGGCUUAACUCCGAAACUGCAUUCGAUACUGCCGUGCUUGAGGACUGGAGAGGAGACUGGAAUUUACGGUGUAGCGGUGAAAUUCGUAGAUAUCAGGAGGAACACCAGUGGCGAAGGCGGCUUUCUGGACGGUAACUGACGCUGAGACGCGAAAGCGUGGGGGAGCAAACAGG